rnacentral:lncRNA from 1 species
CACACCGCGACACAGCAGCCCUCCCCGGUGUGCCCCUCCGGACGGAGUCAGGGCCGCGGAGCCCACAGCAGGUGUUUCCAACAGAGUACACAUUAAAAGCCUACGCUAGCAGAAAUUGAACCUACCUAUACCAUCAAGAACAACCUACAACAACCCAACUAUCUAGGCAAAUGUCUGUAUAUAUAAUGUGCAUUUGCUGGGAAAAACUGGGAAAGGCAGAGUGGAGACUAUUAAGACAAGAAAUCUCACAGCAGACGUUGCUAAAAAAGUAUGGGAGUCUGGAUAGGUCAAUUUCCUCACGAUUGAAAGAAGUUUGGAAACAAAUGGAGUUUCUAAUGGGACUUAAGUUUUUCAGGGAAUGAGGUUUCUCAAUUUUUAAAUGUUCAGAAUUAAUCAUUGAAGAUCUGCCCGGACAAUGUACACGCUUGAGACAAAACAGAUCCGAAUGCUCAAAAUGAACUUUGAGCCAUAAUUUACAACUUCUGCGUCAGAGGGCAGGUUUCUUUUUGAAGAACUUUGAUUUGAAAGAUAAAGAGGCCUACACAGGCUCUGUAAGAGGCAGAAUAGGCGAAGAUAAACUGACAGAAGACGAGACAGAGUCGGAGCUACAGCAAAAUGAAGUCAUCCAUACCUAGAACAUAGUCUGUGCCUAGUAAAUAUUUGCUUUUCAGAUUGGAUAAUUGAAUAAAUAAAUCUUCCAGUUAAAUAUUUGAACUACC